rnacentral:ncRNA from 1 species
CAAAGGUUUGGUCCUAGCCUUGAAAUCAGUUAUUACUUAAUAUACACAUGCAAGUCUCCGCACCCCUGUGAAAACGCCCUUUAAUUUUCCUAUAGAAAACAGGAGCCGGUAUCAGGCACAACAUUUUUGCCCAAAACACCUAGCCUCGCCACACCCACAAGGGACCUCAGCAGUGAUAAACAUUGAGCAUGAGCGACAGCUUGACUCAGUUAAAUAAGUUAGAGCCGGCCAAUCUGGUGCCAGCCGCCGCGGUUACACCAUUGUGGCUCAAAUUGAUCUCCUCCGGCGUAAAGCGUGAUUUAAGUUUUAUUACUUUUGGAGUUAAACUGGAACUAAGCCGUGACACGCUUGUUAACUAAGAAAACCAGAAACGAAAGUUACUCCAAUUAAGCCAACUUGAAUUCACGACAACUAAGAAACAAACUGGGAUUAGAUACCCCACUAUGCUUUAGUCGUAAACUUUAACUUACAUGCCCCCUUCGCCUGGGAACUACGAGCAAAGCUUAAAACCCAAAGGACUUGACGGUACCCCAUAUCCCCCUAGAGGAGCCUGUCCUAUAAUCGAUACCCCCCGUUUAACCUCACCACUUUUAGUCUCUCAGCCUGUAUACCUCCGUCGUCAGCUUACCGCAUGAGCGUUAGUGAGCUUAAUGUUUCUUCAACUAAACGUCAGGUCAAGGUGCAACACAUAAUGUGGGAAGAGAUGGGCUACACUUUCUAGUAUAGACUACACGAAAGACUAUUUAUGAAACCUAGUCAGAAGGCGGAUUUAGUAGUAAAACGGAACAAGAGAGUCCUUUUUAACCUGGCACUGGGGUGUGUACACACCGCCCGUCACCCUCCUCAAUGCACAAAUAAGUUUUUAACUCACUUUAGCUAUACAGAAGAGGCAAGUCGUAACAUGGUAAGUAUACCGGAAGGUGUGCUUGGAAACAA